UAAACUUCAUAUAUUUAUGGAUGGAGGUAGUAGUUGUUUAUGUAACAUAUAAAUCAAAAUGGACACUGACUCGACAAAGAAAUAGAUAUAAACAGGGCUAGAGGUUUACAUAAAUUAAAUCUGCAUGGCAGCAUAACCACAACAAGUCCUGACUACAAAACAAGUACAUGAUAACUUAAACCACCUGAAGGAAGCACCACCAGUCUGCCAGGUAAUAGCAUCACCAAGUCAGUGGCGAGCCAUGUCGUGGUACGAUGACACACAGUUCUGAAGUAAUCUAAAGAAGAACAGACCAUGCAACCACCAUGUGCAGGCUCGAGGAUCCAAUGUGAAAAUAGCAUUCAUCGCUCCGGGCUGACUUAGCUACAAAACCAAACUUCUUCUCAAGCUUAGUGCUGCUCUCGCCAGCGUCACCUAGCUGUUCAGCCUUGAUGCCAAGGAUCAGUUCAGCCCUCUCCUCCACGACGACUACUCGGCGCUGCAGUGUGACCUGCCUAUCCUUGUUGACGACCACCUCCUUGCCUCUGGUGUCCAGCAGCACUACAUCCUCACCAAUGCUCGUGUUGCAGGCAGUGAGGCGUGCACUAAAGUUGCCUGAUCCCUUGCUGAUGCGGGCAGUGAUGGUCGCCUCCACGGAGCGCUUGACAUGAGCGUACCUGACCUCCACUGUGCUAUGCUUGCUUGAAAGCACCUCUGUUCUGGUGUAACUGAGACUGCCUCUGUAAGAGAUGUUGUUGUAUCCAAAGAAAUCCAAGCAUAAAAUCUUGUCAUCUUCAGACAAUGAACUCCCUUUGUCCUUCACUUUCAGGUCAAUCUCAAAAAUAGGCUCAUCCCACAGCAGGAUAGAUCGGCUAGGACCUGUAAGUUCCAAAAGACAAUCCUGCAUACAGUGGCACACAAAUUAAAGGCCAGCAAAUUUCAAUGGCCUUUAGGAACACCAUCACUAAAGGUGCAUCAGAAGCCAGACAAAUUAAAGGCCCGCAAAUUUCAAUUGCCUUUGGGAACACCAUCACUAAAGGUGAAUCAACAGCCAGCAAUUUAUUUCACCAGUGAUGCACAUACAAAACCACUUAAUAGCAUUCUCUAAAAUGAAGAUUUAAGGAUCAGGAAUGUGCCCACCUACUGAAAUCUUGCAUGUCAGGGCCAGCCAACCAAGAAGUGAAGUGGAUACCAACUAUAAAAACUACAUUUGAUAUACUUUUAAAAAUAUAACCAAGUUUUACUAUUUACGUUUUAAGAGCCAGCAGCAACAUGCAUAAAGUAUCUCUGAUGGAAAGGUUCUGAUCCUAAUUCACAGUAUCAACCUGUAUAAAUAUUUCUUCCGAAUGCUAGCGUGGAGCUAAACGCCAUAAAAAUCAGCUGAUAUUACCAGUGCUACCAAGCAGAUUACACCAUACACAUGCAUUGAGAUGCUUAUAGUAGAUUAAAUGAGCGAUGGAAUAGGACAGAAGUUGAAACACAGAUGUUUGAACUUGCCUGAGAGGUGAGGGUCCGGCAAUUAUCUCUGCCUCGAAUGAAGAGUUAGUUGCGCUUCCAGUCUAGGGAAUCACGCACAGCGACGAUGCCAUAGACAUCUAGUGGCCAUUGGAGGUCGCUGGUGAUCUGAUUCACCUUGACAAAGAAGACCUCCAUGGUAUCACACCCUCUCCUAGCGAGCAUCAGCGGCUACGGUGCCUUCGCCCAUCAGUACUUACUGACACGCCCGACCCGCGCUCUAAACUUUCCAGAUCCAAAAAACAAGAAAGAGGAUCGAAAACUUUUUUCGACAUUUUAUAGAAAACAAGUUCAAAGUCAAACUAACAUAUUUACACCUGGGGCGCCUAAGCCCGAUACAGCUAACUCGUCCUGGGAUCUUCGGGGCGGGACGGCUUUAUCCUCCAGAAGCUUCGCCAAGGCAUCCGCUGGGUUGAGCACCGACGCGUAGGUCCCACAGCACCUCGCCCGCUCGCCACCGUUGACACGGGAGGAUCGGCUCCGUGUAGACGAGCAUUCAAUGCAGGGCACGGCCACACUGGCUGUCCUACGCCGGUGACAAGACCCGGCUGAAGGAACCGAUCUUUGGCCGAGGGGUCCAAGGGUGAGGCUACACCCCUCAGAUCGCCCAGAACCCUUGUCAGGGGAAGGCACGCACGAACUUUUACGAGCCCACGCGCCCCGACGUCAUCACCACCCCUGUCAGAGCGACUCGUCAAGGUCAAGGAUCUGACCCAGCGCUAGAUCCCGUACGACCCUAAGGGGGUGGGACCUAGCGCUGGGUGACGGUGUGAGAUGGCCAGGAGUCAUCGAGGAGGUCGGGGAAACCCGGAACAGGCGGCACGCCCCGCCCCCGCCUCGAGCUCAGGCCUAUCCGCUCAUCACCAGUACGACUGACAGCCAUGACUCCCGUCCCGUUCACUGCCACGGGGUUGGCAGACGGGACGGGAGCACGCCACAGGCCAGGCCUCGCGUAGGUGGCCCACACCGCACAGGAGUCGCCGUACAAGGCGUGCGAAGCCCGCUGCCAGGCUAGGAGGACACAGUGUUAGAUUGAUCUCCUUCCCAAUGGGCCCAAAGGCCCAUCGGAACCCUGAUCCGCGCCCUGAUCGGGAGCGCUCACCCUAGCAAUGGGUGGUGGGCUCCUGUCGCGCUGCGCUAUAUAAACAGGGUGGGGACCCGGCUCGGCUCACGAGGUUCGCCGCUGCCAGCCGGCCCACCGACACACCUACCGAUCUAGGUUUGCGCAGUAGCGGCGGGAAGCACGACCGCCACUUCACCGGCAACCGGACUCAGCACUGCGCGUCGCUGCCUUGCGCAGACUCCACCAACCGAACCCGCGAUGGCCAGCAGCUCUGCUGCUCCCACCUCUAGGGGUGAAGGUACCCUAUCUCUCUCUCACUCUCGGCACACACCAGGAACCCUAUGACCCUCAUGUUAUUCACGAUCCCGACUAGAUGUGCAUCUAGAGAUCCUAGGCAAGGCCCUAACACACAGGACAAGGAAGACCCCGACCACGGCACCGCCCCUGACCUCGGGGACCCCCUCCAUUUCUAAAAAACAUUGUUGCUCGGUCCCUGGUCUAUAUAAAGGGAACCGGGCCUUCUUCUCACUCUCGCACUCACUCGCACAACACACAUUCCCACAGGCCUUCUUCUAAAAAACAGGAGUGCGAGAGAGAGCUGAUCCCAGGCCUCUUGGGUGUGCACUGAUCACUGAUGCUCUAAGUGGGUGUGGGAGUGCUCUGUUGGCUUGGAAGCCCCCCCCCCCCGCCGGCCUUCGGCUCCUGCCGGCGCGUCUGCCGGAGGAGGGCGGCCGCCGUCGCGUCCCGUCGAUGGUCUCCUCGACGGCUGUCGCCGCCAGGCGUGAUGAUGGUGUUUCGUCGUGGCACCUGUGUCCGUUGGGGGAGGCGGCGGAUCCCGCCAUCUGCUGACGGCCUGCGGAAGGCGGACGUCGCGUUCCUGUCGCCGGAUGCGUGGGGCGCGAGGACGGGCGCGUCUUCCUCCUGCUCCGGGCGGCGCAAGCCAUGAGUGCCCUUGCUGCGAAUCAGGGGGAUCUGCGGCCACUGUAGCCUGUGCGGUCGUGGCUACAGUGUUCCGCUCGGGUACUUGUGGCGGGUCACGUCGAGGGGCGCGGGCGCCUUUCUGCGUGCCAGAGCCGCGGUGCAUUUAUGGCGAGACCGCUGGGGGGGCCCACAAGAUCCGCGCCCUCGUCCGUCGGUCUGCGCCCGAGGUGGACACUUGUCUCGUGGGCCCGGAUGAGUCCGACCCCCUACGCCCGGGGUCGGGCGAAGCGGAGCCUUGUGGCGAGGGUCGGGCGCUCCCGACCCUGGGACCGCGGUCGCGCGAGGCGGAGUCCCGCCAUCGAGGCUCCGCCUCGUCCGACUUGUCUGCAACUUCGAUAGUUUUUUCUUUUGCGAAAAAAGAAACCCCAAGCCGUCUCGGUUCAGGCUUUUCCCGUUAAGCUCAGGGGUAUCCGACCCUGGCCUCGUUCCAGGACCGCAUACCCCUCGGGGGCUAUCAGGGGCUCCGUCCAAAGCCACUUGGCACCAUCUAAAAGAAACGUUUUUUCUUUCAAACCGAAAACUCCUUUCUAGACUUUUGGACGCAAAAAAGAAUGCGCGAACGGUACUCAGGCAAGAUUGAUCGGACUGCGAAAAAACCUACGCCCCAGCGGCUACGGCACCUUCGCUCAUCACAGCUUAACUGACGCACCCGACAACGUAUUCAAAACUUUCAAGCCCAAAAGAAUAGUAAAUGGGAUCGGAAACUUUAGCACAGCAAAGUUAUAAACAGGCCCGUAUGGCCAUCACAAAACAAGUUCGAAACUGACAUGGUUACAAUUUGGGCGCAAGCCCGGUACAGCUAGCUAACUUGUUGGAGGGUCGGCAGAAGGGACGGCCUCAUCUUCCAGGAGCUUCGCGAGGGUUUCUGCCGGGGCGAACACCGCUGCAUCAAUCUCGUCCAGCUCGGCCUCGGAGUAACCGGCGGCGUACCCUCCACUCAUCCCAGCAAAAUUGAUGCCGGAAUAGUGGGAGCCGAAGACCCCAAAAGCUCGCCGCACGCCGAUAUGAAGCGCGUCCACGGCGAUCUCCCGACUCCGGCGGCGUACCUCGAGAACACGAGCCGGCAGAGAGCUCGACCCCUCCUCCGGAACCACGCCGAAGCCGUCGCAGACGACGCGAACCGCUUCCCGCAGGGCGCCAUGCUCACCACGCUCCGCGUCGAGCAACUCCCUCAGCUUGGCGAGUUCGCCUGCACAACCCAUCCAGAAAAACCCAAAGUCAGGAACAGCCACAACAUCACGGGGACUCAGAAACGGAAAGAAGUCUCACCGUCGGCCCAGCCCUUCAGCUCGCGCUCCCGGUCGGCUCCUUGAGACACGGCGGUCUGGAGUCCUUGCACUUGCGACCAGAGGUGACUGACCUCCGCACCAAGGUCAGCCGCCACCUUCUCGGCCUCCUCCUUCUUGACCUUCUCGGCGUCCCGGUCCUGCCAAGCCUUGAGCCGCUCGCGCCGGACGCGCUCGACGGUUUUCUGGAGGGCUUCAUGCUCCCCCCUCAGCCGCGCGAGCUCCUCGGCGUCGCGGCGGGCCCUCUCAGCGGCAGCCUGGAACUCCUCGUGGUCAAGACGGGCCUUGUCGAUGACGGCUUGGAGCUUGGCCUCCGAUCGCCGCACCUCCUCCAGCGCCGCCCCCUCACGCCUUUGCAGGUCGCCAAUGGCUCCCUGGGCGGCAGCGACCUGCAUAGACAGCUCCCUGGUGCGCUGCCUCUCCGCGUUGAAACGCUCCCAGAGCCCCCGCUCCAGCCGGAGGAAAUCAGAUUUCCCCCGACUGCACUCUUGGAGAGCCUGCAAAGCAAUACGCCAUCAGGGGCAAGGCAACGGGAAAGGGACAAUCGCCAACAGGAGGGGCGACGUACCUGGCUACCAGGGAGGACGACGUUGUCCAAAGCCCCCAUCGCCGAGGACAGAGCCGCGCGGGCGUUGGCGAGGCCACCCUGCACCGCCUGCCACUUGUGCCACUCCGCGGCGUCAUCCAGGGUGAAGAGGUGCCUCGGCGGGUCCUCACGGGAUGCCCAACGCAGGACAGACCCUCUCCACGCCCUGGGAACGGUAGCAGCCAAGGCCGAGGCGGGAGCCGAUCCUGGCGCCGCCGUCGAGGUCGGCACCAUCACACCAGAAGCCGCCGGGUUCACCGACGGACCCGGCGCCUGCACACUCGUCGCCACCGAGGCCGCCGCAGGGUCGCCCAAUGGCGGCACCGCCUCCGACGCAAGCGGCAAGAUAGGUAUCCCAGCGGCUACCUCGCCCUCCGCCGCAACCACCUGUGGAGGCUCCUCCGCUCCCGCCGGAGUCCCCCCAGCGGGCCCCUCCGCCUCCGCCGCCGGAGCCACUCCCGCGGGGAUGAUCGGGGCGGAGGUCCCCGCCUCCGUCGCCACUGCCUCCUUCGCCGCGGCCGCAGGGGCGGGCACUCCCUCCUCCGUCGCCGCCGCCGCCGAUCCCGCCACGGCUGCGGGGGCAUCCGUCCCGCCUCCCGUCGCCGUCGUGUCCUCCGCCUCGUCGGCGUCAAGAUCAAUCACCUCCCCGGCCUGAGGACCCGGGGGAAUGACGCCCUGCGCUGUAGGGGCAACCGGGGGAACCGAGGGCGGAAAGGGGCCCGCUCCUCCUCCCGCCACCGAUGCCGCCGUCGCUCCGUCAGCCGCCGUCACGGGGGCCGCCUCCACGGAGGGGACUGCGGCCUCACCAAGGGCCUCGCCGCUCGCCGCGGGCGGAGCCGCGGUCCGUCCCCCGGAGGAGGACGACGCCGUCAACGCCUUCUUGGGCGCCAGUUGCAGGACGAGGCCACGAGGGGCGGCGCUGCACAUCAACAAGUAAACGUCAGCGGGAACAAACACGGGAAGGGAGAGGAAUGAGACGCGUGAGGAAGGCCGACUUACGUCCCUGAGACGCGAGGGCGGCGCGCGCGCUUCGCUUCGGAGCCCGACGCCGACCCCGGGACAUCUGGCAGCGGCCGCUUGUCGCCGCUUCGCGGCCCUCCGGUCUCGGGCGCGACGGCGGAGGCGGUCUCCGCAGUCCCCCUGGGAGCGCCCUGGGCGGACUCCUGGGGGGCGCCCAGCGCCGGCUCCUGAGAGGCGGCGGGGGUAGUCUCCGAAGACUCCUGGGGGGCGCCUAGCGCCGGCUCCUGAGAGGCGGCGGGGGUAGGCUCCGAAGACUCCCGGGGGGCGCGGCUCCGCGCCGGCUCCAGAGAGGAGCCCCGUGACGACCCCUGGGGGGCACCCCUUGCCGGCCCCUGGGGAGCGUCCCGCGCCGGCUCCUGGGAGGCGCCCCGAGCCGACCCCUGGGGGGUGUCCCGCGUCAACUCCUGGGGGGCGCUCCGUGCCAACCCCUGAGGCGCAACCCCGGGGUCCUGCGGAACCGGGGCUCGGGCGGACGCCUCCUCCGCUUCACCCCCCGCGGUCGUCCGCGGGCGCACCUCCCGAAUUACGAGUGCGCCCGAUCGGAAGGAGGAAAUCAGCUCCUCUUCAUCGUCUUCCUCAUCUUCAUCCUCUUCAUCAUCAUCGUCAUCGUCGUCGUCAUCGUCUGACACGACCGGCCCCCUCCGCCGCCGUUGGAACUCCUCGGCGGCCUUCUUCCUCUUCUUCGCCGUCUCCUUGUCCUUGCGACGCUUCUGCGCCUCGGCAAGGAGACGGUUGCGCGUCCGCCGCUCAGCGUCCUCCGGCACAGGCGGGAGCGAGUCCACGACCCGGGUUAGCGUGCCCUACGAACGCAAAACGGCUCCACGUCAGGAUGACAAUCGCAAGACGCAAAGAAAGGAGGUCGACGCCCCAACCCCUUACCAGGUCUAUGAAGCCCGCAUCCGGGCGCAUCGGCGGGUGCCCGGGAAUCGGGUACUCGGCGUCCUUGUCCUCCAGCGCCUCCCGAAUCCGUUGCCGGAUUUCGGAAGCCGCAAGCGCACCCGCCGCCAAGACGGUGCCCUCGGUCGGCGCGUCGGAAGUCAUGGCGGCAAGCGGGCGGAUCCGGAGCAUCAGCGGCGCCACUCGCCGGGCAUGGUACGCUCCGAUGACCCCGGCGCCGGUGAGCCCGCUCCUCUUCAGCCGCUCGAUGGCCUGCAGCAGGUCGAAGAUCCGUUUCUUCUCCUUGUCCACCGGCCCGUACGCCCACACCUCCGGCGCCACAUCGAUGGUGCGGCCGGUGAACCCCGGCAGGGGGGAGUACGAGUAGUUCUUCACAUAGAACCACUGGUUGUGCCACCCCUUGUGGGACGCCGAGGUCUUCAUCGCCAUAUACUCCUUGGAGCGAGUAUGGCGGAGGUGGAUCCCGGCGCAUCCAAUCGGCACCGGAGGCGACCGCUGCUGGCUCCCCCGCUUCUCCGUCUUCUGGUACAAACUCACUGUGAAAAAGUACUUCCACAGCGAGAAGUUGGGCGCAAUGCCCAAGAACCCCUCGCACAGCGCGACGAACGCCGCAAUAUGCUGGAUCCCGUUGGGAUUAAGGUGCUGGAGCUCGAGCCCGUAGUAGUGGAGGAGCCCACGGAAGAAGCGGCUCGGAGGAGAAGCGAACCCCCGCUCGUGGAAGUGAGCGAAGGAGACGACGUAGCCGGAGGGAGGCGUCGGCACUUGCUCCGUCCCCGGCAGUUCCCACUCGCCCGCCGCCGUCCUCUCACAGAGGAGGCCUUUCCGCACUAGGCCCUCGGCGCGCGAGGGGGUGAAAUGGGAGAUCCCCCAGGAACCCAUCACCAGAGGAGGAGGAAGCUCAACGGUGGUGGGAAGAAAGGGCGCGGCUUGGAGCGGAGGAAGGCGAAGCAGACGCGGGUGAGCUAAGCGCGACGCUGAAGGACGAAAGGGCUCAAAUGCAGAAGGCGGGCGGAACCAGCGAGGCGGGCUCCCGUUUUUAUAGGAAAGGUGCGGGGGAAGCCAAAUCGACGCCCCUGCCGCCAUAAAUGCGGCGCCAGGUACGCCCCUGCCACGCCUACUUCCUUUUCGAAAAUCGCGCGCACGAUCGACCGCGAAGACAUCCUAGUAUCCUCCUCAAUUCGCGGGACGACGCCCCCCAUAACUCCGUCUCCCGAAAGGCACGCCCACGACGUCUCCCACGUUCGGCCCAUACGCAACGACCGCUCCGUUCCGGCCCAAGGCCCACCGAAAGGUAACAAAGGGAUACGGGGCUGAAAACGCCCCUACGGCCCAUUACGGUCCAGAGGUUCGAAGGCUGGCCCGCCACGGGUUCGACAGCUGCCUCAGGACACCCCCCGAGCGAGGGGUGAGAAGGGACGGGUCCGCUAGCGGCCAACACCCGGGCGAGCGAAAGCCAAGGGCGUCCCGACGGAGGGGAUGAGCCGUGCCACGCUAUCCUCGUCGGACGAACCGUGGUGCUCAUGGAGCUACUAUCGGGCGAGUUCGAGUGGGGUCCCGGUCCCCGUUCGGGAGGUUCCAGCUUGGGCCAAGCUGGUGGCGUACCCCAGGCUCCGAUCGGCCAGUUCAUAUAGUUCUCGAAUCCGUUCGGUUGGAUCCGGGGGCUCGUUGCCUUUCUUCGGGGAAAAACCAUGAACUUUGAUGCCGGUUCAGACUCGAACGUGAGAUUGAGACGCCCUGGGCUAUUGCGCGCCUGGGUGAUGGUCGCUUGCGGACCCGUCUCCUCUCACCCCUCGCUCGGGGGCAUCCUGUAGCGGUUGUCGAACCCGUGGCGGGCCAACCUUCGAACUCCUGGAUCGUAAUGGAUCGUAAUGGGCCGUAGGGGCGUUUUCAGUCCCGUAUCCCUUUCUUACCUUUUGGUGGGCCGGAGGCCGCGUCUUGGGCCGGACGUGGAGGGUGCAGCGCCUUGGGCCGGACGUGGGGGACGUUGUGCGCGUAUCCCCGGGAAGUGAAGCGGUGGAGGGCGCCGACCCGCGAAUCGAGGGAGGAGGGGAUGUUUCUGCAGCCGGUCGUGCGCAUGGUUUCCGAAAAAGAAGCGGGCGUGGCGGAGCGUACCUGGCGCCGCAUUUAUGGUGACGGGGGCGUCUGUUCUGCUUCCCCCGCGCUUUCCCUAUAAAACGAAAGUUUCGCCUCGCCGGUUCCGCCCGCCGUCUGCCUUCAAACUCUUUCGCCUCCUCGCGCGCCCUCAGCUGUCCUGCACCCGCUUCGUCCUCCUCCGCCCAGCGCCGCACCCUUUCUCCCCAUCCCCCGUCGAGCUCCUCUCCUUCCGGCGAUGGGAUCCUGGGCGAUUUCCCACUUCAGCCCCUCGCGCGCCGAAGGCCUAGUGAGGAAGGGCCUCCUCUGCGAGAGGACGGAGGCGGGUGAGUGGGAGCUUCCGGGGGCGGAGCAGGCGCCGGCGCCGCCCGCCGGCUAUAUCGUCUCCUUCGCCCACUUCCACGAGAGGGGGUUCGCGACUCCGCCGAGCCUCUUCUUCCGCGGGCUCCUGCAUUAUUAUGGGCUUGAGCUGCAGCACCUCAACCCCAACGGGAUCCAGCACAUCGCGGCGUUCGUCGCGCUGUGCGAGGGGUUCCUGGGCAUCGAGCCCAACUUCUCGCUGUGGAAGUACUUCUUCACGGUCAGCCUGUACCAGAAGGCGGAGAAGAAGGGGAGCCAGCAGCGGUCGCCUCCGGUACCGAUAGGGUGCGCCGGGAUCCACCUCCGCCAUACUCGCGCCAAGGAGUACCUGGCGAUGAAGACCGCGGCGUCCCACAAGGGGUGGCACCAGCAGUGGUUCUAUGUGUAGAACUACUCGAACUCCCCCCUGCCGGAGUUCACCGGCCGCACUAUCGAGGCGGCGCCGGAGUUGUGGGCGUACGGCCCGGUCGAUAAGGAGAAGAAGCGGAUCCAUGGCCUGCUGCAGGCCAUCGAGCACUUGAAUGGGAGGGGGUUGACCGGAGCCGGAGUCAUCGGGGCGUACCACGCUCGGCGGGUGGCGCCGCUGAUGCUCCGGGUCCGCUCGCUCGCCGACAUGACUCCGGGCGCGCCGACCGAGGGUACCGUCCUUGCGACGGGUGCGCUCGCCGCCUCCGAGAUCCGGCAGCGGAUUCGGGAGGCGCUGGAGGACAAGGACGCCGACUACCCGGUGCCCGGUCACCCUCCGAUGCGCCCGGACGAGAACUUCAUUGACCUGGUAAGGAUUUUGUGCGCCAACCUUAUUUUUUCGUGUUUCUUUGUUCGCCGCUCUGACGCGGGGCCUUUUCGCGUUUGCAGGGCAGCAUGACCCGGGUCGUGGACUCGCGCCCGCCGGUGCCGGAGGACGCCGAGCGUCGGCUGCAGAACCGUCUCCUUGCUGAGAAGCAAAAGCGCCGCAAGGACAAGGAGACGGCGAAGAAGAAGAAGAGGGCCGCCAAGGAGUUCCCGCGGCGGCGACGAGGACUCGUGUCGGACGACGACGGCGACGGCGACGGCGACGACGACGACGACGACGAAGAGGAGGAAGAGGAGGAGGAUGACGAGGAGGAAGAGGAGUUUGUCCUGUCCCCCCGGUCGGGCGCGCUCGUUAUUCGGGAGACGCGCUCCCAAACGGCCGCGAGGGAUGAAGCGGGCGGAUCGUCCGGCCGGGACUUGGUCCCGCAAAGCUCUGGGGCCGUCCCCCAGGAGCCGGCGCGGAGUGCCUCCCGGGGGUCUACGGAGCCCGCCCCCGUCCCCACGCCUGCGGCCCAGGAGCAGAGGAGCGGCGACAAGCGGCCGCUGCCGGACGCCCCGGGGUCGGCGUCCGGCUCGGAGGCGAAGCGCGCACGCCGUCCUUGCGCUGGGGGAACGUGAGUUGAAUUUCCUCGCGAACCUCGUUCCUUUCCAUGCAUUAUGUUCGUUUCCGCUGAUGUUUGUUGAUUGUUUUUGCAGCGCCGCCCCUCGAGGUCUCGUCCCGCAGCUGGCGCCCAAGAAGGCGCUGCGGGUGUACUCCGCCCCUGCGGGGCGCACCGCGGCCCCACCCGCGACGACCGGCGGGGUCCCUGGUGAGGUCGCGGGUCCCACCGCGGAGGUGGCCCCGGCGGUGGCGACCGGUGGAGUGGUGCCGCCGCCGGGCACGGGAGAGGGCGCGGGCCCCGCUCCGCCUUUCGCUUCUUCGACUGACCCCGCGGUGCAGAGUAUCGCUCCCGGGGGCCCUCAGGCCGGGGAGGUGAUCGACAUCGACGCCGACGAGGCGGAGGGAACGGCGGCGGUGGAGACGGGGACGGAUGUCCCAGCGGCCGCGACGGGGACGGCGGCGGCGACGGUGGAAGGGGAGCCUGCCCCCGCGGCCACGGCGGGGACAGCGGCAGCGGGGGAGACUGGGACGCCUGCCCCGGCGGCUGCGACAGAGGAUGUGGUGGCGACGGAGACGGGGACUUCCGCCCGGGGAGCUCCGGCGGAGGUGGCACCGGCGGCGGAGGCGGAGGUGCCUGCUCCAGAGGCCCCGACGGGGGCGGGGACGCCUACCUCGGCGGUCGCGACGGAGGGCGAAGCGGCCACGGGGACGCUCGCUCCGGCGCCCGCGUCAGAGGCGGUGGCGCCGACUGGCGGGCCCGCGGCGGCUUCGACGGGGGCAGGGGCGCGUGCCCCGGGACCGUCGGUGAGCCCGGCGGCUUCGGGGAUGGUGGAGCCCGUUUUGACGGCGGCGUCGAGGUCGGCUUCCGCCUCUGCCUCGGGCCUCGGCCACUCCCGUUCCCAGUGCGUGGAGAGGGUCCGUCCUGCGUUGGUCGUCCCGUGACGACCCGCAGAGGCCCCUCUUCACGUUGGAUGAUGCCACGGAAUGGGGCAAGUGGCAGGCGAUGCAGGGCGGCCUUGCUGACGUCCGCGCGGCUCUGUACUCGGCGUUGGGGCAGAUGGACGUCGUCGUCCUCCCUGGUAGCCAGGUAUGGUACCUUCUCCGUUGGUGGUUGUAUCCCUCCCUGUUGUUUUACCCCUGAUGUCGUAUUGUUUUGCAGGCUCUCCAAGAAUGCAGUCGGGGGAAAUCCGAUUUCCUUCGGCUGGAGCGGGGGCUCUGGGAGCGCUUCAACUUGGAGAGGCAGCGGACCGGGGAGCUGUCCAUGCAAGUUGCCGCCGCCCAGCAGGUCAUCAACGAUCUGCAGAGGCGCGAGCAAGCGGCUCAGGAGGAUGCGCGGCGGGCGGAGGCCAAGCUCCAGGUCGUCGCCGAGAGGGCCCGCUGCGACCGCGAGGAGUUCCAGGCCGCUGCCGAAAAGGCCCGCCACGACGCCGAGGAGCUCGCACGGCUGAAGGGGGAGCAUGAAGCCCUUCAGAAGACCGUCCAGCGCAUCCGGCGCGAGCGGCAAAAGGCUUGGCAGGACCGGGACGCCGAGAAGGUCCGGAAGGAGGAGGCCGUGAAGGCGGCGGCCGACCUUGGGGCGGAGGUCGGUCAGCUUCAAGCGCAAGCGCGGGAGUUUCAGGCCUCCGUGGCCCAGGGGCUCGACCGGGAGCGCCAGCUGAAGGCCCAGUCCGAGGGUAAGACUCUGUUCAUUUCUUUGUCGUUGUGAUGUUGCGGUGAUUUUCGAUUUAGCGGGUUCUUCUGGGUGAUCCUUGCAGGCGAGCUCACCCGGCUGAGGGAGGCGCUCGACGCGGAACGCGCUGAGCACGGCAACCUGCGGGAUGCGGUCCGCGUCGUCUGUGACGGCCUCAGCGUGGUCCAGAAGGAGGGGACGAGCUCGCUGGCGACUCGUGUCCUCGGGACCUACCGCCGAGCCCGCGAGAUCACCCUGGAGGCGCUCCACACCGGCGUGAGGCGAGCCUUCGGGGUCUUCGGCUCCCACUACUCCGGCAUCAACUUCGCCGGGAUGAGCGGGGGGUACGCCGCCGGCUACUCCGAGGCUGAGCUGGACGAGAUCGACGCGUCGGUGCUCAACCCGGCGGAGGCCUUGGCGAAGCUCCUGGAGGAUGAAGCCGUCCCUCCCGAAGAUCCCCGGACGAGUUAACUGUAUCGGGCUGGCGCCCAAGAUGUUUGGAUACGAGGUGCAAAACUUGAGCUAAUUAUAAAACUAAUUGCAGAACCCUGUGCUAAUUCGCGUGACAAAUCUAUUAAGCCUAAUUAAUCCAUCAUUAGCAAAUGGUUACUGUAGCAUCACAUUGCCAAAUCAUGAACUAAUUAGGCUUAAUAGAUUUGUCUCACGAAUUACACUCCAUCUGUGCAAUUAGUUUUGUAAUUAGUCUAUGUUUAAUACUCCUAAUUAGCAUCCAAACAUUCGAUGUGAUGGGUGUUAAACUUUAAAUACGUCAGUUUCAGACUUAUUUUGUGAUGGCCACAGGGUCUUUUUCUAUGGAUUGUCGUAAAAAAGUUUUCGAUUCGAUUCCCUUUCUUGUUUUUUGGACUUGGAAAGUUUAGAGUGCGUUGUCGGGCAUGUCAGUAAGCUUUGAUGAGCGAGGGUACCGUAGCCGCUGGGGCGUAGUUUUUUUCGCAGUCCGAUCAAUCUUUGCCUGAACACCGUUCGUGCACUCUCUCCUUUUUAUGCUCAAAAGUUCAGAAAGGGGGUCGGCUCGGAAAGAGAGCGUUUUGAGAGGGUGUCAAGUGGCUUUAGGCCGGAGCCCCUGAUAGCCCCCGAGGGAUGUGCGGCCCUGAAGCAGAGCCAGGGUCGGAUAUCUCUGAGUUCGAGGUGAAACUUGAAUGGAACCAUCUCAAAAUUCUUUUUUCCGUAAAAUUUUUUAAAUUUUCACAAGUGUGUAUGCACAGAACUUGGAAACGAAAGCUAGGGGUAGAAGCGUCUUAGCUGUUCUAUGUUCCAGGUGAGCCGCCCCUCUGGGGGAGGCCCGCCGGCGCGCGCCCGGCUCGCCGCCAUCCCGGCGGUGGAGCCGGGGAUGGGGGGACGAGCGGGCCAGACGAGGAGAGGGAUCAGCUCGAUCCCCUCCCCGGUGGCGAGGAAGUCCAGACUCCCGAAGCGGAUCAGGGAGCCCGGAGCGAAGCUGGCGUCGUGGUUGGCCAUCUGAAGCCGGAGAUGUACGCGCAAAUAUGCGCGUAAGGCUUCGGAUCGUGGCGUGGGAGACACGGGUUUAGACUGGUUCGGGCAAGGGAACGCCCUACGUCCAGUAUCGGGAGCUGCUCGUGUUGACCACGCAGGGUUCUGUAGUAGGCUCUAGCAGGGUGCGCUCGUGCGUUCUGUUGUCUAGGGAGCGCUAUGGUGUCUUCGUUGUGCGUUUUGCCUCUCCUGUCUCAGGCCCCCGAUUCCUCUUUUAUAGCGUAAGGAGGCCACCGGAGUUACAGGUGAGACCGAGUGUGGGGAGCGGUAAAGAGAUAAACAUGGCUAGGUAAAAAAAAUACAACGCGAGGGGGGGGAGCAAGUUCCCAGGUCGCCGGCGUCCUCGCCGGCCUUCGGCUUCCACCGGCGCGUUUGCCGGAAGAGGGUGGCGGCCGCUGCAUCCUGUCGAUGGCUUCCUCGGCGACUGUAGCCGCCGGACGUGAUGAUGGCGUUUCGUCGUGACCCCCGUGUCCGUUGGGGGAGGCGGCGGAUCUUGCCAUCCUGCCGACGGCCCGCGGAGAGCGGACGUCGCAUCUCCGCCGCCGGGCGCGCGGGGCACGAGAGCGGGCGAGGCUUCCUCCUGCUCUGGGUGGCCAAUCGGAGAAGGUCGUAGCUACUGUAGCAAGUACUGUGCGGCCGCACAUGGGUACUUGCGACGGGUUGCGUGGGGGCGCGGAUAUCCUUCCCUCUGACACCUUUGCGGCGCAUUUAUGGUAGAAUCGACAGGGGGACCCAUGAGAUCCGCGCCCGAGGCGGAUACCUGUCUGGUGGGCCCGGGUCAGCCCGACCUCCUAUGCAAGCGGAGGCCUUCGGCGGGGGGUCGGACGCUCCCGACCCCUGACCUGCGUUCGGGCGAGGCGGAGCUUGGUCUCACGGGGGUCGGGGAUGCCUGACCCCAGGAUACCGGGUCGGGCGAGGCGGAGCGUGAUUCUCGUCCCCCGUGUUGGGCCGACGGCAGUCGUUAUUCCCUUAGGCGGGCCUGGGCCUUCGCGUUUUUGUUGUUUCCAUGGGCUUCGAAGGGUCGUUAAUAUUUUCCCCUGACAAUAGCCCCCGAGCCUGUGGUGGAGCGGGGACGCUCCUCCAGAGGCUGCUGUCAUCGUCCGCAGGGGAUCCUACAUCUAUCAACUAAUAAUGUUUCGUACUUGGCAGCAGAUUGCCUUUUCUCUCUCUGCAAUGCGCUCCUCCUAACUAACGCGACCUUUAAUUUCUGAAUGGUCACACGGCCACAUGAUCGCAUCUUACAGGACCUUCGUUUCCGAUCCAUCGUGCAGAGAGAAUAUAAUCAUAUUCCCGCCCGUGACAAAACCAAAUGCAAGAAGCAUAUAUAUACUAUGUAAUACCCUGGGUACGGAAUAUACCCGAGCUCACCCGCGGAUCCGGCUCCCCCUUUUUCUCCCGCCCCUUCCGCCGGUUUUUUUCUCAAACGGUUCCCCCGGUUUUUUUUUCCAGCUUUUUUCCCGAACGUGGGUCUUCCGUCGUGGGUGGUGUUCAGUUCCCGUCCAUCCACUCCUCAUGCUAGCGGACGCUGCCGCUCGCCAUUCGCUGCCGCCGUCGCUCGCCAACCGCCGCCGCCGCCUCCACCGCCGACUCCGCGUCCGGCAUCCAGUCGCCGCUGCUCCCCAUCCGCAGCCGCCUCAAUCUCUCCCCAUCCGUUUCCGCCGCCGCUCGCCCGCAGCUGCCGCGCCGCCCCUCUCCUCCUCCGCAUCGACGCCGCGCCGCCCCUCGCAUCGACCCCGCACCGCCUCUCUCCUCCGCGUCGACCCCGCGCUGCCCCUCUCCUCCUCCGCAUCGACGCCUCGCGCCCCUCGCGUCGACCCCGCGCCGCCCCUCGACUUCGACCGCCCGUCCAAGUUCCUGGUGGUUUGCCUCAAUGCCAUCCGGGAUGAGGUGGCGCCCGAGGACGGCGGCGGCAGCAGCAUCCACGGCGGCGGCGACUGGGGCGUGGAGCUCUGGAGGUCCUGCUCCUCCCCGGCGCCGUCCGACGUGCUCGACACCAGCGGCGCGUGCGCCACGAUGGAGCAGACAGCGUGGCUCGUCUCCACUGCCUGCGACAUCGUCGCCAGGAAGGAGAGGCUUGGGAUGGUCGUCUCCUGCCCCUUCCUGCUGUACCUCGUCCCGUCCCAGGAGAAGGCCGCGCAGGUUGGUACUGCCAUUUUGAUGCUUACUGUGUAUUUAUGUGUAUAGCUUUUUAAUGAAUCAAAUGUGAAUGACUUAGUUAAUUUGGUGUCGUUUGGGCAGGUGCGAUCGAUAUGCAAACCCCUGAAGCCUCUUGGGAUUCAUUCAGUGAGCUUGCAUUCUGGCGCUUCGGUUGAACAUCAGAUCUCUGGGUAUGUUUUUUGUUCUUUUAUUUGUGUUAUCCUUUGUUUAUUGCAAAUGGAAAAAUGUGUUAUCUGUUAACCUAGACGCGUAGUGCUUAUGCAUAUCAAAUGGCAGCUGAUAUAUUGGUGUUAAUUCAUUUUGUUUUGACUGCCCUACCAGACUAAAAACUUGUGAGCCGGAGUAGACUAAAAAUUCUACCACAUUAAGCAGGAUUAUUAGGACCUUACAGUGGCAGUUGGUUCGAUUGAGUACUCGGAGUCCAAACCGGCAGCAACGGAAAUAUUCAGGUAAUAAAGAGGUUUGUUUCUUUCUUCUGGAAUUCCAUAGCCUGGUGAGUUUGGGUGAAACGAGGGGGGCUGAGUGAAUUAUAAGAGGAUAUUGGCCUGCUGCAACUUGAAAUUCUAGUGUUUCCAAACUGACAUUAUGGCAUGAUUCACUGAAUUCCUGUUUCAGAUGGGCAUGAUUCACUUAACCUUCUGCUUCAGGUCUUUGAGAAUUGCAAUUCUUGUAACAAUUACCCCUACUAACUUAACCGGCAUGCUUAUGUUGCAUGUGCUAGAUGCUGUUAUUCAAGCCUUCCAUCAGAAUGGUGAGAUUGUCUUGAGACCUGGACUAAAUGCUGUUUGAGUGCGAUAGAACCAUGAUACAAAUUCAUUAUCAACUUGGUAUGAGGGUCUAAUGACAUGGCACUAUGAUUACAGCUCGAGUUAAGUUAAGACAUGAAGUCAUCAAUGAUUCCUUCUAUUAAAUUUACCCAUCUGGAUAUGUAGAUAUGCUUUUGUGAUAUGGUUAGAUUUUCUAAUUUAGGCUAAUUAAGAUUAGAGCUCAUAUUGUCAUCUGAAAUGUUGGCAGGAGGCAAAUACUGAAAUAUUGCCAUUUUUUAAUUUGUUGUUUGGUUUGGUUUGUCUUCAUUGUCGAAAAAAGACUAAAAAUCAUGUUUAUGAACUACUAGGAGAUAUGCUUUGUUUUUUCUUUGGAGUUUUGGACUCCAGAUUCUCUAACUAGCAAUGAAGUGCAGAUAGGAAAUGCUGACAAACACACAAUCUUAUUUAUGCUAAUGCCUCUCAUCAAUACUGUUAGGUUCUGACUCAUUUGAAGCUUAUUCACAGAAUACCAGGGUACAGAAUAGCUUAGAAAUAAAAUUAUUCUGAUCAUCAACAUCAACUCAUUUGAAGCUGUGACCUGUAAUGACGAGAUAAAUAGAGAUACUAAAACAUCUGACUGUGUGCUCUUUACGCAACAUGCCUCAGAACCUAAUCCUAGUAAUCUAUAAUAGUGCUUUACUGCCACCUAGGUAAAAAAAUGUUUGAAACCCACAACCCUCUGAUUGUACCAUUUUGUUAUCUUGACUUGGGAACACUUCGACAACUGCCUAUGGUAUACUGGCUAGCAUUUGGUUGUGAUACUGAAGAUCCUAUACUCUUUCCUCCUAGGAUGAUUCAGAAAUAGUUGCCAUGAUAAAAGAAUUGUUGGAGACUCGCAUUCGGCCAGCUGUUCAAGAUGAUGGUGGUGACAUUGAAUACCGAGGGUUUGAUCCGUUAGUCUUUCUCUCCCUCCCCAGCAUGCUGUCUGCUGAUAUUGAAUAUUUGGAUUCCUUCGUCUCACUAGGAUACUAUCCUUUCAGAGAAACAGGGAUAGUUAAGCUUAAAAUGCAAGGUGCCUGCAGGGUGUCCAAGUUCAUCCGUCACAUUGAAGUCUGGGAUAGAAAACAUGCUUAUGCACUAUGUACCUGAGGUAACGUGAUGUGAUUUAUACAUUCUUGCUGACGGUCGUUAAUGCUUGUGGCUCAUGUGAAAGAUGUUUUCUAUUUGAUAACUAGAUUGCUUGUCAUGUGCUGAUAUUCAGGAAAUGAGUUCCUAUUGCAAUUGUUCCAUAUAAUUUGUUUUUCAUAAAGGGGGAGAUUAUCCAUUGAUUCUCAGUGGCAGGCCUUAAGAUUUCUAUUGUGCUAAUUUGUCAUACUGCUUUGGCAGGUGAAAGGAGUAGAGCAAGAGUUUGAUGGUGACGAGGAAGCUGAGCUGGCUGGACAGAUGGAAUGAGCUUUUUCAGUUAUAAGGGUCAACGCAUCCUCUUCAAAUGUUGCCGCUCGCCAUCCGCAGCUGCCCCCGCCGCCGCUCGCCCGCAGCAGCCACAGCAGCAGCUCAAGUGGCAGCGGCUGAUGCUGGGAAGCUGAUUGAUAUCAAUGCACCAGUGGAUCUGGGAACAGAAUCAAAUGUGCUGCACACAUUUGAGCUCCCUAUAUCAUUGUCUGCUCUGCAAGAAUUUGGCGGAGCCAAGGGCCUGUUUGAUGGUUACAUGGUUAGAAAGCAGAAGAUAGAAGCUACAAUGGGGUAUCCGUGCUUCUGCAGGCUGCUCAGCGGAUUCAACUGUCUGCCUGGCUUCAGUGCCUCUACAAUUGUCCAGAUCAUCCGCUUUCCCUUAUUUUCUUAGAAACAACAUGCAGUCUAUACAGUUUCUUCAUAAAUAUUACCUACUGUAUGACUGAUUAAUGUUUAUACAUGUGGAGUGUGUUGUCAUCUUAUCGUUGUUAUUUGACAAUAUGCAAGUUGAUGAUUUGAAUCCAUAGUCAGUCCAUCCAACACAGCACAGAGGAUAGGGCCUUCCUCCUCAAAAUGACGAUCUGCCCUCCUGCUGACAACAACCCCUGUGCCCUCAUCCAAUGUAGCAAAGUUGGACUGCAUGCAAAUUGAGCACACAAUUCAGCGAUGGGAUUAAUACAUUUAUCAGUUGAUAAGAAACAUUAAAUUUUGUCCAGGGAUAAAAAGGAAGAAAGAAAACAUAGGUGAAACAUGCUUCUUUCCGCACUACAGCCGGUCAAAUUCAAUGAUCCAAGCCAUUUCUUAGAAGAGCUACAGACCAAGAUCUGACAAAAAGUGUUGGCCAAACUUAGUUAUUGCAUGCACACUCUUGAAUGAUCUGAACCAUUGCUAACUACCUAAAAUUACAGCCUAAGAGUCUAACGAAACUGAGCAUCAAUUUACAACGCAAAACAGAAGACUGAAUGAUGAACAAUAACUGCUGGGCAUACAAGUUGACAGCAGAAGGAGCCAGCUUUAGCAAUAGAACGGCAAACUAUGAUCUGAACAAAUCGAGCUACCACUACUUCAGCUGCAAUCCGGUGCUACCCAAGAACGGGGUGCCGAUCUUGACACAACAGACAUAGCAAAUGCAUCAUUCAGGAGAACUGCAGCUUGCUGAUUCAGAGUUUGUAAAAAAAAUCAAGUACACAACCUUGAGGGCGAAUCAGCGGCGUCCUGCUCGGGAAGACGGAGGCAGGGUUGAAUACGAGUGCGUCGAUUCCGGGGCCGCGGCGUCGUCCUCCUCUGGGCAUCGCUGCCGGCGGAACAGCGGCGGCAGGGUCCGGCUGGUCGGGGCGUCGUCCUCCUCUGGGCGUCGCUGUGUCCUGCUCGGGGAGACGGCGGCGGGGUUGAAUACGGGUACGGCUGGUCGCGCCGUCGUAUUCAACCCGAGCGAUGCGAGGGCGGAGAAUACUGCUGAGCGGUUCCAACAUAUGCAAACGUCCUGGGAGCGAUGCGGGGUUGUUGGUGCCCGUCAAAAAAAAAAAAAAACCCGGACGUCCUGCGGGGUUCUCCGGCUGCGGGGUGCUGGGACGGGGCUCGGGUACAGAAUAGGCUAUUCUGUACCCUGGGUACCAAAUAGGGAGGCCUCAUAUAGGGAAUUUUGAUGGCGUGAAUUAAUUUUUUAAUGGCAUACAGGGAAUUUGCUAUAGGGUUUUCCAUGUCCCUUCGUCCAAAAAUAAAUCAUUAUAUACUUCUUUCAUAGCAAAAUAUUUAUCGCUGUUAAUUUUUUCGAUACAUUUGACCAUUCAUUUUAUUUAAAAAUUUAUUGUAAAUGUACGAAAAGAUAAGUUGUACUUAAAAUACCUAUGAUGGUAAAGUAAGCCACAAACAAAAAAAAUUAAUGAUGCUUAAAUAAUUUUUGAAUAAGAUAAAUGGUCAAAUGUCAUGACUAAGUGUCAGUGGCAAAUAUUUUGAUACGGAUAUUAUCAUUCAAAAUCUGUCAAAAAAAUAAGUUAUUACACCUAAUUUGGUACGUGCUUGUAUGCAUACAUGUAUGCAUCAGCCAACUGGCACCAAAAUAAAUAAGGUCAUAAGGUCAUUUUAACUCCUUGUUUUUUUAAUCCAUCCUACAAUUUCUUGGGUGAUUUGUUUUUUAGACAGAGGGAGUAUGCAUGUUUGUCUAAUUUGAUCAUAUCAUAUCACGAGACGAAUUAAUAUCAUUGUCAAAUUCCUUAUGAACUAUCCAAAUCCAACUAUUUAGGCAUGUUGUCUUUUCUUUUUCCUUAGCGUAAAUUUACGGCAUGCAAAGUAAUUGAGACUAGCAAAUGUAUUUUGACCAGUUAUCUUUAAGCUAAUUAAGUAGGCCCUCGUGGUCCAAAGCGAAGGAUUGCACUUAUUUUAGGAUUUUUUUUGAAGUGUUAGAAUUGCGGUUUUUAUUAGGUGUGCAGGCUCGAGGAUCCAAUGUGAAAAUAGCCUUCAUCUCUCCGGGCUGACUUAGCUACAAAACCAAACUUCUUCUCAAGCUUAGUGCUGCUCUCGCCAGCGUCACCUAGCUGUUCAGCCUUGAUGCCAAGGAUCAGUUCAGCCCUCUCCUCCACGACGACUACUCGGCGCUGCAGUGUGACCUGCCCAUCCUCGUUGACGACCACCUCCUUGCCUCUGGUGUCCAGCAGCACUACAUCCUCACCAAUGCUCGUGUUGUAGGCAGUGAGGCCUGCACUAAAGUUGCCUGAUCCCUUGCUGAUGCGGGCAGUGAUGGUCGCCUCCACGGAGCGCUUGACAUGAGCGUACCUGACCUCCACUGUGCUAUGCUUGCUUGAAAGCACCUCUGUUCUGGUGUAACUGAGACUGCCUCUGUAAGAGAUGUUGUUGUAUCCAAAGAAAUCCAAGCAUAAAAUCUUGUCAUCUUCGGACAAUGAACUCCCUUUGUCCUUCACUUUCAGGUCAAUCUCAAAAAUAGGCUCAUCCUACAGCACGAUAGCUCGGCUAGGACCUGUAAGUUGCAAAAGAGAAUCCUGCAUACAGUGGCACAUAAAUUAAAGGCCAGCAAAUUUCAAUGGCCUUUAGGAACACCAUCACUAAAGGUGCAUCAGCAGCCAGACAAAUUAAAGGCCCGCAAAUUUCAAUUGCCUUUGGGAACACCAUCACUAAAGGUGAAU
rnacentral:lncRNA from 1 species